AGCGAACGCUGGCGGCGUGCCUAACACAUGCAAGUCGAACGUGAAAAGGGAAACCUGAGUAAAGUGGCGUACGGGUGAGUAACGCGUAGGUAAUCUACCCCAGAAUCUGGAAUAACCUGCCGAAAGGCGGGCUAAUACUGGAUAGAGCGAGGGAACUCGUAAGAGAGUUUUUCGGGAAAGGGAGCCCGCAAGGGCCUUCGUUCUGGGAUGAGCCUGCGUCUCAUUAGCUAGUUGGUAAGGUAACGGCUUACCAAGGCGAUGAUGAGUAGCUGGUCUGAGAGGAUGAUCAGCCACACUGGAACUGAAACACGGUCCAGACUCCUACGGGAGGCUGCAGUGGGGAAUCUUGCGCAAUGGACGAAAGUCUGACGCAGCCACGCCGCGUGAGUGAAGAAGGCCUUCGGGUUGUAAAGCUCUGUCGGAUGGGACGAACAUCUUCAUAGUGAAUAGCUAUGAGGACUGACGGUACCAUCAAAGGAAGCACCGGCUAACUCCGUG
rnacentral:rRNA from 1 species